UACGAAGGGUGCAAGCGUUACUCGGAAUUACUGGGCGUAAAGCGUGCGUAGGUGGUUUGUUAAGUCUGUUGUGAAAGCCCCGGGCUCAACCUGGGAAUGGCAAUGGAUACUGGCAGGCUAGAGUGCGGUAGAGGGUAGUGGAAUUCCCGGUGUAGCGGUGAAAUGCGUAGGGAUCGGGAGGAACACCAGUGGCGAAGGCGGCUACCUGGACCAGCACUGACACUGAGGCACGAAAGCGUGGGUAGCAAACAGG
rnacentral:rRNA from 1 species